AUGGCGGCGGCGGCGGGCCUCCACCCAGACGUUCUCGCCCGCAUCUUGCUCCUCUUGUCGUGCAUCGUGGACCGCGUCAGGGCGUCCGCGGUCAACAAGCACUGGCGGCGGGUCUCGCUGCAGAAUCCGCCCCCGCUGCCGCGCCUCCUCAGGCCGUCCACGGCCCAGACCGAGACCUACCGGAUCUUCGGCGGCUUCGGCGAUCCGCGCCCGUCCCUCUCCGAGGAGGGCCGUGGCUCGCGUUUCUGCGGGUCCGCUCCGGGCGGCUGGUUCGUUAUCUCGGCCGAGCCAUGGCGCGGCCACGCCCUACUUCACCUCCGCACCGGCGAGCGCGUCGCCCUGCCGGAGAGGGUGCGUAUCCCGCUCAACUCCGGCGACAUCACGUGCCCUAUGAUGAUCCGCGCCGCCGUCAUCUCCGCCGCGCCGCCGUCUGGCGACUGCUUCGUCGCCGCCAUCACCUCCAGCCAGACGAACAUGGCGUUCUGGCGCCCGGGCAUGGACUGCUGGUUGUCGCCGCCGGUGGGGAUGGGGCCGGCUCGGCGCAGCGCCGAAGACCUCACUUACUACGACGGAUGGUUCUGCGCCGUCGACUCCGAGGAUUACCUCGUCUGCUACAAGCCGGAAAUCGCCCCUGCUGGAGACGGCGCCUCUUCGCUCACCAUUCGAACUAACGCCUACAAAUUCCAUGUCCAUGGUCACCAAACGGCACCCGGGGAGAUCGUAUCGCACUACCUCUUGCCCUCCGCCUCGGGUGCCGAUCUGCUGAUGCUGAGCGGGCAGGUCCUCUUCGUCGGCCGGGCCUGCUCCAAGGCCUUCGACACGGGGCAUGCCGGCAGCCCGGGCUACAUCUACUUCCUCGACGACGUCUACACUGGCAGGCCACACAGUGUCGUCCAGCAGAAGGAGUAUCCCUGCGCCGACGCCGGCCGGUGGUGUUACUCGGUCCCCGACGAAAUGGACCGCUGCCUGCCAUGGGCGGCGCCCUCAGACACCUCGCCGUGCAUUUGGUACCACCAUUAA
rnacentral:rRNA from 1 species